rnacentral:rRNA from 1 species
CAGGUCUGUGAUGCCCUUAGAUGUUCUGGGCCGCACGCGCGCUACACUGACUGGUUCAUCGAGUUUACAACCUUGACCGGUAGGUCUGGGUAAUCUUUGAAAGCCAGUCGUGCUGGGGAUAGAUUAUUGUAAUUUUUAAUCUUCAACGAGGAAUUCCUAGUAAACGCAAGUCAUCAACUUGCAUUGAUUACGUCCCUGCCCUUUGUACACACCGCCCGU